GAUGAACGCUGGCGGCGUGCCUAAUACAUGCAAGUCGAGCGAACGGACGAGAAGCUUGCUUCUCUGAUGUUAGCGGCGGACGGGUGAGUAACACGUGGAUAACCUACCUAUAAGGCUGGGAUAACUUCGGGAAACCGGAGCUAAUACCGGAUAAUAUUUUGAACCGCAUGGUUCAAAAGUGAAAGACGGUCUUGCUGUCACUUAUGGAUGGAUCCGCGCUGCAUUAGCUAGUUGGUAAGGUGACGGCUUACCAAGGCAACGAUGCAUAGCCGACCUGAGAGGGUGAUCGGCCACACUGGAACUGAGACACGGUCCAGACUCCUACGGGAGGCAGCAGUAGGGAAUCUUCCGCAAUGGGCGAAAGCCUGACGGAGCAACGCCGCGUGAGUGAUGAAGGUCUUCGGAUCGUAAAACUCUGUUAUUAGGGAAGAACAUAUGUGUAAGUAACUGUGCACAUCUUGACGGUACCUAAUCAGAAAGCCACGGCUAACUACGUG
rnacentral:rRNA from 1 species